AUUGAACGCUGGCGGCAUGCCUUACACAUGCAAGUCGAACGGUAACAGGUCUUCGGAUGCUGACGAGUGGCGAACGGGUGAGUAAUACAUCGGAACGUGCCUAGUAGUGGGGGAUAACUACUCGAAAGAGUGGCUAAUACCGCAUGAGAUCUACGGAUGAAAGCAGGGGAUCGCAAGACCUUGUGCUACUAGAGCGGCCGAUGGCAGAUUAGGUAGUUGGUGGGAUAAAAGCUUACCAAGCCGACGAUCUGUAGCUGGUCUGAGAGGACGAUCAGCCACACUGGGACUGAGACAAGGCCCAGACUCCUACGGGAGGCAGCAGUGGGGAAUUUUGGACAAUGGGCGCAAGCCUGAUCCAGCAAUGCCGCGUGCAGGAUGAAGGCUUUCGCGUUGUAAACUGCUUUUGUACGGAACGAAAAGCCCUGGGUUAAUACCCUGGGGUCAUGACGGUACCGUAAGAAUAAGCACCGGCUAACUACGUGCCAGCCGCCGCUGUAACAC
rnacentral:rRNA from 1 species